rnacentral:rRNA from 1 species
UACAGGGGUGCAACGUUGCUCGGAAUCAUUGGGCGUAAAGCGCACGUAGGCGGUUCGUUAUGUCGGAUGUGAAGCCUUGGCUUAACCGAGGAAGUGCAUCCGAAACUUGGCGAGCUUAGAGUACGAAAGAGGAUCGCGGAAUUCCCGGUGUAGAGGUGAAAUUCGUAGAUAUGGGAGACACCGGUGGCGAAGGCGGCGAUCUGGGUCGAUACUGACGCUGAGGUGGCGGAAAGCGUGGGAGCAACAGGGAUAAGAUACCCG